UUCCUGACGAAGUCGGCAUUCGUUAAUUUUAGAAAUAUUGGAGUGAGUCAAUGGCCCGUAUUGCAGGGGUAAACAUUCCGAAC
rfam:Azonexus hydrophilus strain ZS02 NODE_1_length_907935_cov_52.7657_ID_540, whole genome shotgun sequence.